GGAAGAGCCUUAGCACAGUGGUAGAACAUCUGCCUUACAUGCAGUAGGUCCCAGUUUCGAUCCCUGGCAUUUCCU